GACAGAGGGUGCAAGCGUUGUUCGGAAUCAUUGGGCGUAAAGGGCGCGUAGGCGGUUCUGUAAGUCGAAUGUGAAAGCCCAGGGCUUAACCUUGGAAGUGCAUCCGAAACUACAGAACUGGAGUCCCGGAGAGGGUGGUGGAAUUCCCAGUGUAGAGGUGAAAUUCGUAGAUAUUGGGAGGAACACCGGUGGCGAAGGCGACCGCCUGGACGGAGACUGACGCUGAGGCGCGAGAGCGUGGGGAGCAAACAGG
rnacentral:rRNA from 1 species